rnacentral:lncRNA from 1 species
AUGAGGUGCAAAUCUUGCGAGAGCAGCUUCCAAGAUUAUUUCGCCGAUACCUGCAAGCAGUGCCACGAGCACCACAAGGCCAAGGUCGCUUUUCUCGGGGCCACCCACCCGGCUUCCUUCUCCGACGUCGUUCUGUUUGCCUCCGACGACGAGGCCGCUGGUCCCAUCCCGGCCCAUAAGGCCGUUUUGGUCAGUACCCAUUCCGCCAACUUGCUACUCUUCAUCACUGUUUUUUUCUCUCAACAAUUUGGGGACUUUAUUUGUAUAUUUUUAAUUUUUUAUGAAUUGGUUGAUUUCUUUGGAGAACUAUGUAACAACCUUAAUUAGUAAAUGUAAUGAGAGAUGUGAUUUAUUUAAAUUUGUAGGUCGAUGAAUGCUAAAUUUGAUUGACUUGAAAUGGCCAAUGCGUUAUUAUAAUUUCUUUGGAAAAACUUGUUUGAUUGAUUAUAUAUAUGAAGGGUGUUGUGAUAUUAAAGUUGUUAUGAACAACAUGUGUUUUUCAGGUGAGCCGUUCUCCGGUGUUUAGAGCCAUGUUUGAGAAUGAGAUGGAAGAAAGCCUGAGCGGCACCAUCAAGAUUGGCGAAGUGUCCUACCGCACCCUUGGUGCCUUUGUCAACUACCUCUACACUGCUGAGGUACGCCUUGACCAGCAAUUCGCCUGUGUCCUCUUUGUAAUGGCUGAAAAAUACCAGGUCCAGCAUCUCAAAGACUACUGCCAGACGUUCUUGGUGGCCAACCUCAACUGUGACAAUUCACUUUCGACCUACACCUUCGCGCACCGGCAUAAUGCCAAGCAGAUCAUCGACGCGGCCUUAAUAGUGAUCACAGACAACAUGGACAAGCUUACUUCCCGGAAGGAGUACGCCAAGCUCAAGGAGAAAGAUCCGCAACUCGUGAUCGAAAUCUAUGAAGCUUUUCUCUCCAGACAUUCUUCAUUUUCUUGUGUGCGCACGGUUUCUUC